GAUGGGCUCUGGCUGCACCGUGGAGAAAACGUGCAUUGAGUCCGUGUGUGGUGUCAGCGACAAAUAAACCCGAGCAGCGCGCACCGAGCCGCGGUGAGAGGCGGUGGAAGCUGCUGCAUCCAGGCGGCAGCUCCGGAUAAACACAGGGAUUCACGGGUGUAUGCAUUAAUGAGUGUGUGCGGAUACCUGGCGCUGCUGGACGGUUUUCGAGGAUUUAAAAGCGGACUGAUGGAGCUGCGGGCACACUGAGGAUCUGCCCCCCAGACCGACUCCCCGCGUCCCUGCAUGUGUUUCCUGGCAUGGAAUCGUUUUCUCUGCUAAUUCAUCAAAGGGUUAAUUGAUAAAGUCCUGUUUUGGGACCUCAUGGUGCUUGAAGGCAGGGACAUGGACGGGAUCGGGAACACCAUGCAGAAGAAGGCUGCAGAGCUGGAGCGGCUCGCCGAGGUGCUCGUCACCGGGGAACAGCUCAGGCUGCGGCUGCAUGAGGGGAAGGUGAUCAAGGACCGGAGGCACCACCUUCGAACUUACCCAAACUGCUUCGUUGCCAAGGAGCUCAUCGAUUGGCUGAUCGAACACAAGGAGGCCUCCGAUCGAGACACGGCCAUCAAGAUCAUGCAGAAACUUCUGGACCAGAGCAUCAUCCACCACGUGUGUGACGAGCACCGGGAGUUCAAAGACAUGAAGUUGUUUUACCGCUUCAGAAAGGACGACGGCACGUUUCCGCUGGACAGUGAAGCCAAGGUCUUCAUGAGGGGGCAGAGGAUCUAUGAAAAACUAAUGAACACAGAGAACAACCUAUUACAGAGCAGGGAGGAGGAGGGCGUCUCGUUUGAGAGGACGCUGGUGGCCUCGGAGUUCAUCGACUGGCUGCUGCAGGAGGGCGAGAUGGCGACCAGGGAGGAGACGGAGCAGCUGGGGAGGAGGCUCCUUGAACAUGGCAUCAUCCAGCAUGUCACCAACAAGCAUCACUUCAUCGACGGGCCGCUCCUCUUCCAGUUCAGGAUGAACUUUCGGCGACGGCGGCGGCUGAUUGAACUUCUUCACGAACGCGGACGCAGCAUCCCAGAGAGCCACGACAGCCCCUUCUGUCUCCGAAAGCAGAACUCUGACGGAGGAAACACCAGCUUCCUCUCAGUGAGCCCGACCAAAGAGAUAAAGGUGGCGGUGGGAGUUCGUCGCAGCAGCAUGAGCAGCAGCUGUGGCAGCAGCGGUUAUUACAGCAGCAGCCCGACGCUCAGCAGCAGCCCUCCAGUCCUCUGCAACCCCAAAUCUGUUCUCAAGAGACAAGUGAGUCCAGAGGAGCUGCAGACACCAGGAGGACCUUUUAUAAAGAAGACAUUCACAAUCGUUGGUGAUGCUGUAGGUUGGGGCUUCGUGGUGCGAGGCAGCAAACCCUGUCACAUCCAGGCCGUGGACCCUGGUGGACCUGCAGCUGCUGCUGGCAUGAAGGUUUGUCAGUUCGUGGUGUCGGUGAAUGGACUGAACGUUCUCUGUCAGGACUACCGGACCGUCAGCAGCCUGAUCCUGAACGGACCGAGGACAAUCGUCAUGGAAGUGAUGGAGGAGGUUUCCCAGAGACUAUGGGUUGAGGAGGAAUUGGAAGUUUGUCGGCUUAGACCUGGUGUCAUUCCAUCAGUGUUAAACUUCCCGGCUCAUCUUUGAAGAGUAUGUGCCAGAAAGACCACGACCAAGCAGCCUUGAGAUCUUAGACAGCGUCUCCCUGAGUUCUGCUGGACCAGCUCAGCUUCCCCUCAGAAGAAGUGCUGCCACCUGCCAGAUGAAGGAGCCUUUUGAGAGGCAGCUGGCAUCGUGAUUGGACUGUACUUUGGUCUGUUCCAAUCCAGCUUCAGCUCCAGAGACGGCAGGCGGGACGAGUCAACAGAGGCCUGGUGGACGAAGGCAUGCAGCUGAGUACAAUCCAGAAAACAACAGAGGAGGAGUGCAGCAGCCCAGAGCCAGAACAACCAGAGUAGCAUGACCAAAGAACUACAGACUCUUCACAACCUGCUCAAACUCUUGGUACAGGACCUCACCACACGGAUCAAGAAGGUUUCCAUCUCAUUUCUACUCUGAAGAUCACCUUCUCCUGCUCAAACUGCUGACAAAUGUUUCUGCUGCUCUAAAGUCUGGUCUCCAGAACUUCCUAAAAACUCUCAAAGUCUCUUCUGCUGCAGGUUGCUUUGUAGAGCUGUUCCAGAAAACCUCACUAAACCACAUGGAGGGGCCUCAAGAUAGUCGUCCAAAUGAAACCAUACAAAAACCAAACUAGCACAACCCAAAUGCUAAAGUCUCCUGCAGCCUACCAGAGAACCUCUGAGAACAGAGAAUCAGGACAGGAACUCUUACCUUCUGGACAACCAACGCUGGUUCUCAAACAAGAAUACAGAAUGUGUCUGACUAAAAACCUCUGAAGACUCACUACAGCCAAGCUAAAGACACAACUCAGCUGUACCAAAUCCACUAAUCACUGCACACAUUUGCACCAUGUGCUAACUGUGGCUAAAGAACCACCUUUACCAAGACAACUAUCCAGUACAAAGCCCUAAAACACACCAAGAAACACAUUAAAGUCUAUUUUACUGCUGGAAGCUGCAAGCCAACGCCUAAAGAACAAAUUAAAGCAACGGAGCCAAACCCAGUUCUGUGGUGAAGAGAAACAGAGGAAAUGUUUGUGUGCAGCUAAAUAAAGCAGGGAGACACUGAGCUGCUCAGGUGUUCCUGAUAACACCAAGCAGCCACCUGGACAGCCAAUAGGAACACAGCUUACUGGAAGUCCAGAGGGCUGGGUUAGUGAAGGAAAUUUAGUUUAAAGUUGAAGCAGAAAGUUAACAAAGAAAGUUGAAAACCACCUUCUGAUCCCUGAAAUCUCUGAGUUUUCACACAAAGAACGCCUGAACAUGUCAAACUGGUUCCAUAGUAGAACCAUCAUUGUAAAAACGUCAUAGUAUGGUGUGUUGCUCAAAAAACAUUAGGACCUGGCUGUCAGGGGACAAACAUGUAAGAAACAUGAGAACAGAGAGAAUCCAACCAGCAGGUCACAGUUUAUCAUCCCCCAGUCAUCUCCUGAAGUCCAUAUGGUGAGAGACAUCAGUAUCUGGUUGUUAAUUUACCAGAGGAUGCUUAUAAUCAUGCUGAUGUGGUCUGUACUCUACAGUAUUUUAGUGACUCAAUAAAUGCCUAAGUUGUUUUUUUAAAUGCUUUUUAGUUUUUAAUAAACAUUUAACAGCCUAUAUGUAAUC